rnacentral:pre_miRNA from 1 species
UUAGCUCAUAUUUGUAUGAAAUGGGAUCGUCUACCUACGUUUGCCGCCAGGGGCGCUGUUCCAACUGCAUACAAAGUUAGAUUA